AUUGAACGCUGGCGGCAGGCCUAACACAUGCAAGUCGAACGAGUGGCGGACGGGUGAGUAAUGUCUGGGAAACUGCCUGAUGGAGGGGGAUAACUCCUGGAAACGGUAGCUAAUACCGCAUACCAUCGGAUGUGCCCAGAUGGGAUUAGCUAGUAGGUAGGGUAACGGCUCACCUAGGCGACGAUCCCUAGCUGGUCUGCGAGGAUGACCAGCCACACUGUAACUGAGACACGGUCCAGAGUCCGACGGGAGGCAGCAGUGGGGUAUAUUGAACAAUGGGCGCAAGCCUGAUGCAGCCGUGGCGCGUGUAUGAAGAAGGCCUUCGGGUUGUAAAGUACUUUAAGCGGGGGGGCGUUACCCGCAGAAGAAGCACCGGCUAACUCCGUGCCAGCAGCCGCGGUAAUAC
rnacentral:rRNA from 1 species